ACUUCAGUUUUGAAAACAAUAUUUCCCGUCUAAAAAGUCUUGAAAGAAAAUUUUGAUGUUGUCGAAUAAGACAUUUCUACCCAAAGAUUCAAAUAUCAUAAAAAGAUGAAGACGGCUGUGACAUGCAGAAUGGAGAUAGGAUUUGGGUAUCAUUUAAAAGUUUAUGUGUAUUAGCAAUGUAAAUGAAAAAAAAAGAAGAUGCAUAUGACUGAGAAUCUAAACUGUGUAGGGGACAUGACUCACCGGCAUAGCUAAAAUUGCAGACCGCCAAAUAACAUUGCAAAGGAGAUUUACUGGCGCUCUGUAGUGUAACCAGUAACGCUGUCGCCUUUGAUUCGAAUCCAGUCAGAUGCCCGCAAUACCUGGAAGAAUCAUGGAUUACAUGGAAAAAUGCGAGCAAGAAAAGUAACAUUCUUAAGAUUAUAAACCUGGAAAAGUACAGGACAAGUUAUUACACCUGUAAAACUAUAGGACAAGCGAUUACUUCUAGUAAAUUCAUUUUUCGCUCACACGCCACCGAAAAAAAAGAUGGCCAUGAAUAUUUUACUAGCAAAUAUAACAAAGGACAAAGUGUUUCAUGAUGAUCAGAAAAGGAGAAAGCUGGGGAGA